rnacentral:rRNA from 1 species
GACGAACGCUGGCGGCGUGCUUAACACAUGCAAGUCGAACGGAGAACUUAGCAAUAAGUUCUUAGUGGCGAACGGGUGAGUAACGCGUAGACAACCUGCCUUCUAGAUGGGGACAACACCGCGAAAGUGGUGCUAAUACCGAAUGUUGUAACGGAGAUGCAUGUUUUUGUUACUAAAGGUGGCCUCUAUUUAUAAGCUACCACUAGAAGAGGGGUCUGCGUCUGAUUAGCUAGUUGGUGAGGUAACGGCUCACCAAGGCGACGAUCAGUAGCCGGUCUGAGAGGAUGAACGGCCACACUGGGACUGAGACACGGCCCAGGCUCCUACGGGAGGCAGCAGUGGGGAAUCUUCCGCAAUGGACGAAAGUCUGACGGAGCAACGCCGCGUGAGUGAAGAAGGUUUUCGGAUCGUAAAGCUCUGUCUUUUGGGACGAACGUGAUUUAUGUGAAUAAUGUAAGUCAAUGACGGUACUAAAGGAGGAAGCCACGGCUAACUACGUGCCAGCCGCCGCCGUAAAAC